GCGCCCGUAGCUCAGCUGGAUAGAGUACCGCCCUCCGAAGGCGGGGGUCACAGGUUCAAAUCCUGUCGGGCGCGCCA
rnacentral:tRNA from 19 species